GGUGGCUUACUCCAGAUUUUGUUAGCAGUUUUUGUGUGGUUCUUUCCGUUCGUACUAAAAAAGAAAAAAAAACUAUGCUCUAGUCUCUAGCCAUACCAAUCAAGAAAAUGAAAGCAUGGAAGAAGCUCAAGAAGUUCUUCAAGAAGACCCAUCAAGAACCUUAUUUUCUUCAACCGCCACCAUGUCACUGUUGCUGCUCAUACUCCAGUCCAGUUCAACCCUCAGCUCCACCACUGUCACCAUGGCUGGUUCAAGACCAGACCAAUGAAGUGGGCUGCCAAUGUCACACCCUGUUCACAUCUCAAGAAGUUGGGGAAGCGAACCACUUUUAUCCUUCAUCGGCAACUGAGACUACCCCAUUAACCUACCAGCAAUAUACAGUUCCAA
rnacentral:misc_RNA from 1 species